CCUACGGGAGGCAGCAGUGAGGAAUAUUGGUCAAUGGCCGGAAGGCUGAACCAGCCAUGCCGCGUGAAGGUCAGUGCCCUAUGGGCGUUAAACUUCUUUUGUGCGGGAGCAAUAAUGGUCACGUGUGGCCCGACGAGAGUACCGUACGAAUAAGCAUCGGCUAACUCCGUGCCAGCAGCCGCGGUAAUCCGGGGGAUGCCAGCGUUAUCCGGAUUUAUUUGGUUUAAAGGGUGCGUAGGCUGGGAGGUAAGUCAGCGGUGAAAUGCCCCCGCUCAACGGGGUGAAGUGCCAUUGAUACUGCCGUGCUGGAAGGCGAAUGCCGUGGGAGGAAUGUGUGGUGUAGCGGUGAAAUGCAUAGAUAUCACACAGAACACCGAUUGCGAAGGCAUCUCACGAAUCCGCGAUUGACGCUGAUGCACGAAAGCGUGGGUAUCAAACAGGAUUAGAUACCCUAGUAGUC
rnacentral:rRNA from 1 species